CAGUCGCCGCGGGAAUACGUAGGGUGCAAGCGUUAAUCGGAAUUACUGGGCGUAAAGCGUGCGCAGGCGGUUUGUUAAGACGGAUGUGAAAUCCCCGGGCUCAACCCGGGAACUGCAUUCGUGACUGGCAAGCUAGAGUAUGGCAGAGGGGGGUGGAAUUCCACGUGUAGCAGUGAAAUGCGUAGAGAUGUGGAGGAACACCGAUGGCGAAGGCAGCCCCCUGGGCCAAUACUGACGCUCAUGCACGAAAGCGUGGGGAGCAAACAGGAUUAGAUACCCCGGUAGUCCCUGUCUCUUAUAC
rnacentral:rRNA from 1 species